GAAGAGAGGAAAGAACGAAGCAGACGAUGAGAAGCGUGAGCUUGUUUUCAAGGAAGAUGGUCAGGAGUAUGCCCAAGUUCUCAGAAUGUUAGGGAAUGGUCGGUGCGAGGCGAUGUGCAUCGAUGGGACAAAGCGACUUUGCCAUAUCCGGGGGAAGAUGCACAAAAAAGUUUGGAUUGCAGCUGGUGAUAUAAUACUUGUGGGGCUUCGUGACUACCAGGAUGACAAAGCUGAUGUUAUCCUCAAGUAUAUGCCUGAUGAAGCAAGGCUGUUGAAAGCAUAUGGUGAACUUCCAGAGAGCACACGUCUCAACGAGGGUAUUGCUGGUGGUAUCGAUGAUGAGGAUGAUGGUGGCGCUGAUGAUUAUCUUGAGUUUGAGGAUGAAGAUAUCGACAAGAUUUAGAUUUCAAGUAACCUUUACUUUUGAAGUUUAGAGUCGUGUGUGUGGAUGAUUGGUUAUAUGGAUUUACUCCACUGUUGUUGUACCUUUUACUCUUCUAAUUCUGCUGGAGAAUUGGUAUUUAUUGCAUAAAAUCUGGUAAUGAUGAUAUAUACAUAAAUGCGCAAUUAAAUCUACCUUCCAUUUUUGGC
rnacentral:misc_RNA from 1 species